UACGGGGGGGGCAAGCGUUGUUCGGAAUUACUGGGCGUAAAGGGCUCGUAGGCGGCCAACUAAGUCAGACGUGAAAUCCCUCGGCUUAACCGGGGAACUGCGUCUGAUACUGGAUGGUUUGAGUUUGGGAGAGGGAUGCGGAAUUCCAGGUGUAGCGGUGAAAUGCGUAGAUAUCGGAAGGAACACCAGUGGCGAAGGCGGCUUCCUGGACCAAUACUGACGCUGAGGUGCGAAAGCGUGGGGAGCAAACAGG
rnacentral:rRNA from 1 species